GUGUACUUUCUGUGGAAAAUCGUGUCAGAUGUGGGUAAAAAAAUUGCUUCCCUUAUACAUUUUGUCCUGCAGAAAAGUAGCCAUGGAUUAUAAUGGCAGAUACAACCUUAAACCUUCCUUCUCUUUGCCAAACCUUCUUGACAGUAAAAAAAAGGCCACAGAACUCCUUUUCUUUCUGAAGAAGUUUGUGAGUAGAACAGUUCUUAGAUUCCUUCAACCACUGUCCCCACUGAACGAGUCAGUACGCAGUUCUUCCUAUUGAAAGGCAACAAGAAUUUCAGAAAAGCAGCCAUUAAAGAUGCUAUUUGAUACUAAGCUAAUAUACACUUUCUUAGGUGUCUCCUCAACGCAGCUUCAGGCACUUUAUGCAUAUCCAUACCAUCAGCUGUAGAAAGCUAUUAGUAGUAGUUCAAGGUGGUUACGUGUGAAAAGAGACUGUUCUCAUCAACAUGGAUAUCAAAGAUAAGAAAGGGAAAAUGGUACAGCUCUUUUAACUGACAGUGGUAUUUUCAAAGGGUUACAUAAAGAAUAAGAUUCUCAAGCAGGCAGUUCACAAUUUGUUUAUUGUCAUACAUGAAGAUACUUUGUCACUGCUCUCUGCUGAAUUCUUGCUGUGAUAGUUUGAUCAGUUUCUACUGAAAUUAAAUGAACACAGCAAGAACUCAGGUUCUACUUAGGAGAUGCCCUCUUUUCACCGAGUCCCCCACAUUUUCAUUACAGAAGCAGCUCACUGAACGUGUGACAACUUAGAGAAGUACAAUGGCAUUAGUUUAAAUCUUUUUCAUAUGUUCUAUGUAAGUGAAAUCAUGAAAGAGAACAAACACCUCAUUCACUUACUGAGAGCUGAUUGCUGAAAUUCACUUAUAUUUUCCCCUCUUAAAACAUCAUCACUAUCUAUAACAGUGAGUAAACAUAAAGAGCAGUAUCUCAAAUAAAUGUAUGUGUGGUGACUGCCUGUCAAUAUGAAAGAACAGAGGAAGAAAAUAAUCUGAAAUUGGUUUGGAGAUCAGCACUAUGACUCUGUUUGGAGUUAGUCUUAGUCUACUAUUUGGAUUCUUUUGUUGAGGUGUGAGUUCUUUUGGAAAACAAAAAGCAAAGAUCUUACAAGCAAGCACUUUUGAGUAGUAGUGAUCAGUCUGAAGAGGAAAAGAAAUUAAAGAAGAAAAGAAAUUAAAGAAGAAAAAGAAAUCCAGCUUUCUGAUAUCUAAACCAAAAGAUUUUCUGGUUGCUCUUUGGCAUCAGGGCAGACUGGUCGGCAUGGCCAGUCAUUGUCUCAGAUGUUCUUCAGGAUUCUAAUUUGUAAGUAAAACAAAUGAAUAAAUGUGGAGGAGCACUUCAUUUAAAGAGUGACAGAGAAUGUGGUGGUACGGGCAUCUCAGAACAUAUUAAGAAAUUGGAAAAAUGAAUUUUGGAGGAUGAAAGGACAAUCCUGCUGUGCAAUGAAACAAAGCAGUAACAACAACUUUCCUUUCAGUAUUUCUAAGAUUUUUUUUUUAACCUCAAAUGAUGCAAAAUGCUUUGGUAAAAUGCAAGAGGCAUAGCAGACCACAGAAUUGAGCAAGAUUUUGCUAUCUGCAGUCUGCCACUGCAUUCUGAACACCAAGGUCUAAUUAGUUAUUUCAAAAGACCAGCGUGACUCUGAAAGCUUCACACAAUUUCUGUUCCUAAUUCUUUUUCAUUAGGGUGAUAACAAUGAUAUGUGAAGGAAUCCCUUGCUAUCCAAUCAGGUGGGAAAGCAUUAAAACAGUCAAAACUGCUGUGGAUAGCAAAUGUGUCAUAAAUUGUGUUUCAAAGCACAGAAUAGCCAGCCACUGAGCAGGGCUGGUUUGUUUACUGAAACACCACUGCCCUGAGUCAGACUGGUUUACAAAACAGGAAGAUGGCUUCUACACCCAGACCAUUCUGGUUGUACUUUGUCAAGGGUGGCAUUUAGCUACAGUGAACACAGACCAUUACUUUGGUCCUGAAGUCUCUGAAAUAUCAUCACUGAAGUCUCACUCUCUGCUAAUCCAUUCAGCAAAAGUAUUUUCUGUGCAUCUGCCAAACCAGUCAUCCAGUGCCCUGCAGCACUUCAGGCUUGUUUUGCAGGCUUACGUGCAGUCUGUGUAGGAAGGGUGGGAAUGUUUAUGGUGCCAGCAAAUCCUUGUGGCAUCCACUGUGAGUAACCUUGGAAACGGAAUGCUAUGGCUUGUGCUCCCUGAUGUCAUCGCUCCUAUUAAAAGUAAUAUUAAAUGUUUAGUCUGUUGAGAAAUUGUGAUUUUUAAUGUGUUGUCCAUCGGUUAAAAUUGACCUCAAUCUUUAUGUUCACAUUAGUAAAC
rnacentral:lncRNA from 1 species